rnacentral:sRNA from 1 species
AUAAAUAUCGGCUCAGUUUUCGGCAAUGCGGAGGAAACGUGGAUUUGAUUUUGAACGCUGAGAAGACCAAUUGCCACAGAAAGGUUGCUAAUGUUCAGAAAAAGGAUGGUCUAGUGCGGACGUGGACGCUCUCUUGGGCAGACCAAUCACAUAUUUUGAUAUUACAGCUGAAAAAUUCUCAUCAGAGAUGGAGGAAGAUGACUCGACGCCAGUAAAAGCGAUCUGUCCAGAUGUUGACCAUGAAGAAGUUGUCCAAAUGUCUGAUUGUGGUUGGAGACAGUGGAGGAGUUUGGUGGAAUUAGGGAUGUAAGCAGAUACGCAUUUAAGAGAGCUCGAUGGUCGAGGCCAUUUUUAGACUAUAUUGAUCUCCUAAUGAAGAAGAGCUAUAUAUAGAAAUAUGCUGGUUGGCAGAAUAGAUAGAGAGAGUGAAGUCAUGACGGUUUAUCAGGUCAUUCAUCUGUGAUCGGGACAUUUUCUGGAAAAAUAGAAAAUUUUCAACAAGAUCGAAAUCCUGUCGCACAUGUACUUUGUCUCUCAAUUCCAAAUCAACACCUCCUCCACAUGAUUGCAUUAUCAACUGGAACGGGAAGUUCUAUGAAGGCCAUGGAGAGUGACAUGAUAGAAGAGAUGGUCAAGGAUGUGAAUGAUGGGUCUAUUUGUAUAGAGACAAUAGUUGGUGAUGAAGAUAGCACAAUGAUUUCCAAACUUCGGACAAACAUUGACACAAAUAUUGGUAAAACAUUAGAUGCUUAUCAUGUGAAGGAAAUCUUAAGGAACCAUCUAUAUUGUUAGAAAAUAACACACAACUUUAACUUUCAAAGUCAUACAGUAUCUCAAAAGAUGUUUAUACUACAUCUUUGCCCAAAUAAAAAGCAGAUGUUGCAAGGAUAAGCCAAGGAUGUGCUCUUGUCUGCUUCAAUAUUUAUGUUAGAUAUAUAAUAAAAUUGUUGAUAGCGUUCGUUCUGGAGCGGUAAUUGUCAGCUUCAUUAGUUAUGCUAGAUUGGUAAUGCAUGUAACAAUGUUGAAAUGGCUUUUGAUUUGGGUGCAUUAUUUGUAUAAGUUUGUUGAUCUAUUACAUUGUACAUAUACAUGUGAGGAGUUAAAUGUCCAGUAUAAACUUGAUUAGUAUUAAAAAAAAUUCAUACCAUAAUAUAUGGUUGUAACAGUAUUGGAUGUUUUUCUGCCAAAAAAGCUUAAAAUUAUAUUCGGCAUUUGUACUGUGCAUUUUGUACAUGAUGUAAUGCUGAUUUCAAUCUUUUUUUAUGUUUCAGAGUUGAAAAAAAUAAUUAUAAGAUACAUGUAGCAAAUCAUAAAUUAAAUAUUUAUUUGUUUAUACAUACUAGAAUUAUUUUGUUCCUACCUGGUAUAUUGUUAUACGGUGCAAAUGGUUUAAAAAAUUGUAUUUUAGCAGAGGAAUUUCAAGUUAAGCAGAGGAAAUUUGGGAUUUAAAUGAAUAAUUUUUUACUUUUUUGGUGAAUUUUAUAAAGUACCAGCAUUGUAGUAAAGAUAUUAUUAAUUGACUCAAUCUUUAUUGAACCAAAAGUUGGUAUUGAUUAUUUUAUCUUCACUAGAAUAGUGAUCAAGUGAAAAUGGCGCGAAAUUGUAAAAACAGACCAGAGUAAAUUCAGAUUGCAAUAUCUUUUUAUCUAAGUCAUUGACAUAUGAGUUUCUCCUUUUCCAGUGAAAGCAUAACAUUUGUAUAUUUUGUUUAAGUUCAAAAAUAAAACUUCCAAUUAUAUCAAAACAGAUUUUUUGACCAUUUUGCAUUGAAGGUCAACACAAAAAGCAACAAAUUUGAAUCAUGCAGAGGAAAUUCGGUCGCACAUUGUAUGAUACUGAGGAGGCUUUCAGAAUUUUUUUUUUAAUGAAUUGUUCUUCUGUCAAUGUAUUAUAAAUAGCAUAUAAGAAAAAUGAAAUAAAAUUACUAUAAACGAUG